CAGCCGCCGCGGUAAUACCGGCGGCCCGAGUGGCGGUCACUAUUAUUGGGCUUAAAGCGUCCGUAGCCGGGUUGGGAAGUCCUCCGGGAAAUCUGGCCGCUUAACGGUCAGAAUGCCGGAGGAUACUCCCAGCCUAGGGAGCGGGAGAGGCCGAGGGGAUUCCCGGGGUAGGGGUGAAAUCCUAUAAUCCCGGGAGGACCACCUGUGGCGAAGGCGCUCGGCUGGAACGCGUCCGACGGUGAGGGACGAAAGCCGGGGGAGCGAACCGGAUUAGAUACCCGGGUAGUCCCGGCUGUAAACGAUGCGGGCUAGCUGUUGGGUGGGCUUAGAGCCCACCCAGUGGCGCAGGGAAGCCGUUAAGCCCGCCGCCUGGGGAGUACGGCCGCAAGGCUGAAACUUAAAGGAAUUGGCGGG
rnacentral:rRNA from 1 species